AACGAACGCUGGCGGCAGGCUUAACACAUGCAAGUCGAGCGCCCCGCAAGGGGAGCGGCAGACGGGUGAGUAACGCGUGGGAAUCUACCCAUCUCUACGGAAUAACGCAUGGAAACGUGUGCUAAUACCGUAUACGUCCUUCGGGAGGAAGAUUUAUCGGAGAUGGAUGAGCCCGCGUUGGAUUAGCUAGUUGGUGGGGUAAAGGCCUACCAAGGCGACGAUCCAUAGCUGGUCUGAGAGGAUGAUCAGGCACACUGGGACUGAGACACGGCCCAGCCUCCUGCGGGAGGCAGCAGUGGGGAAUAUUGCACAAUGGGCGAAAACCUGAUCCAGCCAUGCCGCGUGAGUGAUGAAGCCCCUAUGUUUGUAAAGCUCUUUUACCUGUGAAGAUAAUGACGGUAACCGGAGAAGAAGCCCCGGCUAACUUCGUGCCAGCCGCCGCCGUAACAC
rnacentral:rRNA from 1 species